GGUGAGUGUGGUGGGUGUUUUCUUCCUGGAGCAUAGCGUGAAUCUGUUUGUGACUAGUAUCCAAAAGGUGAGUUCUGUUGCGUGGUGGUGCUGUGUGCCUCUGUUGAGUCAACGGAGCUAGAGGAUAUAGAAAACAAGAUAACUUCCAGGUGAGCUGCCCUGGUGAGAGAAUGGCAGCUUUGCCCAGAGGUGGACACUGGAGAAAAGGCACAUCCAGACCAUGACAGAAAGCAGUCUAUGAAUAAUUAAAAGUGUCAACAGGUAAGUUUGGUUUGGCUUGUAAAGCUAUUUAAAUGGUUAAAAGCAGUCAGUUUGCCUCUAGGCUUUGUUCACAAGUUAUACAACAGUUAUUCUUUAACACAACCAAUACGACCAGCCUUUCUGGUAGGUUUAGCAGUGUUCUGCUUAUUCAGUCUAGCCCUAGGUUUUAAAGGAGUCUUAUAGGGUAGGUAGGUACUUUCAUUUCCUUAGCAAGAAAAAGGUUGGAGCAUAGCUGUGAAUUGUACAGAGUUGGAAAAGAAUAAGAAACUAAGGAAACAUAGCCAGGAGUGAGAGAUGAAUAGUGUCCACUGUCGAACGAGGGGCAGAGGAAAGAAUAGUCCAGCAGAAAGACAGGCAGAUUAGAGAGGCUGAAAAGACGACUAAAGAGGGAGAAGAAGACCAAAUAAAUGAUGGCAGUGAAAAAUUGGAAAUCAGAGCCCCCAGCUAAGACACCGGGAGACAGGAAGUAGGAAGUAGCUGAUCUCAUUCCUGACUUCUCUUUGAGAGGCCUCAUCGAUGUGACACGCAUUACCAUCGCGGCUCUCGUCUCGGGCCUCAUCGUCACUUCCCGUCACUGUUGUCUCUCUGCAGCCGGGGAUGAUCACAGCCUCUCCUUAACACGCGGAGCCAACGCACCACGCCGCUCUCCCUCCCUGUCAUCUCCUUCUCCGGACCCAAUGUCACGAAGAUAAAUAAGAACUAAGAAGUCAGUGAGAAUUUUCCAACAGUCACUCUCUCCAAGCGGAUUUUUCUGCACUGUUUCUUCUCUGCGCUGCGAAGCUGGAGGAUUAUCUCGGGGGCUGUCGGGCUAUUCGAGGUCAGGACGAGUAUUUAAAGGUCUGCUACACAGUGAUGGAACAGCGCGGAAGAAAAAGUAUUCACAGAGUGACACAAAUUAAAUCUGUGUGAGUCGAGUUUGCAAAGAGUGCGAACCCCCGAUACAGGUGUCAGCUCCCAUUCUGCUGAGGAGGCCGAAGUCGCCAUGGAAGCUGAACUCAUCAGGUUCAUUUCAAAGUAACAUCAGGCGCAUUUACAACCCUGGAAUGGUUAAACUAAAUUACACGUCUACAGAGAAGAUGCCCUAUAGGGUUUCUUUAAUGUGUGUGUUCUGUGGGUUGUACAGGCAAACCAUUCAAAAACUCCAAAUGUUCACUCUCUCUUCUUGUAAUUCUUCAACGCACAUAGAUAAAAAACACUUAAUGGUGCUCAUCUGCCAACCCAGCUCCACAGAACAGCAAAUCAACAAAUUAUACCUCCCCUUCAUAUUAAACUGCAGGACUAUAAUUCAGUCCUUGUACGUGUGACAGACUUUUUUGUUUCCUUUUCUGCCACUUUUCUCUUUUUUGCCUUUUUUUUGGGGAGAGAAAUGUACUCUAACCACCCACGAGUGAAAAAUGGAACAUACUCUGUGUUCAUAAUUUCUACCAAGCACCGUGCAUCUGUUUUUGUUUGAGAACCAAAAAGCAGACAUCCUCACGGUCGCAGCCGGAGAGGAUUCAGACAGACAAACGGAUGCUUGAAACAGACACAGACUAUGAGGAGAGGCUGACUCAGAGAUUUGAUGAGAGGAAAAUGACGGGGAGAAAAAUUGACACAGGAAAGUGGAAACCCAGUAGGAAACAAACACUUUCAUUUUUUAUUGUCGUGGGAGAAGGCUGGCACCAUUGCCAAAGUGACCAAAUUGACUACGCUGUCAUUUUCUUUCAAAUCAAACCUAUAUUUAAAAAGAGGCAGGCAUGUGUCAUUACAAUACCUCUUUAUGUCUGCACUUCUGAUUACAGGACCGUCAGAGAUGUGCCCUUGGAUAUACUCAGGCUUCACGAGUGUUAGUGUAAGUGACUGCCUCAUAUGUUGUCUUGAUUCCCCUGCUACAUUUACCAAAUUCAUAUACUUUCAUUUAACAAGAUCCACACCCAGAGAGGCUAGAGUAUUGCUGGCUAAUGUGAAAUAUAGCUUUCUGGCAGAAAAAUCAUACAGGCAAAGAAAUCUUUCUGAAUAUCAAGCAUCUAUUUGUUCGUUUUUGUCACAAAAACACUUCAGAAUAUCUGCUUUGUGCUUUUGUUCCACUUGCUAUUGACUCUUGAAUAAAGGUAUCAUGUGCACCGGAGUUCACGCAAAGUUUGCAGGAGAGAUUAUGGAAGAGCUUGAAAGCUUUAGCGCACAAGGUUAUGAGCUAAUACCUCAACAACAGGGAGCCAGAUGAGCGUUGUUGAUGCCAUGUAGGAAAAGGACAAUGUGCAGUAUUUUUGAUUUCUGCAGCACAUGAUUGUGCUGUCACAGCGUGGGCAAAGUACUGGAUGUGCACAUGCACACACUCGCAACUUUUCACAUUCCAACAUGGUGACAUCUUCCUCCAUGCUAAGAUGUUAAUCCCUAGAUCACUUUGUCUGCCUUCUAAACAGCUAAUGUGUGACCUGUAAGGUUGUGAAUUUAGGUUGCAUCAGCCUAUUAAAAAAAAUAAAACAAAAUCAAUAAUAUAUGUCCUUAAAAAAAUAUUUGAGCAAAAAUAAUUCAUGCACUCAGCUUGUAACGACUUUACCAAAAUCUGUUUUUCUGUUAAAGAACUAGCAGAUCUGGAACUGCUUUCAUUUAUUUAUGUGAGACUGAGAUUUUUCACACGCGAGUACUAAUAACACACACAGGCGUUGCACCACUCCGGAGGGAAAAAAAACCCAACCCCGGGGGCAGGUUUACUGCCGGGAUUUCUAUGCUAGUCUUCAAUAGGGUGCAAAGGGGGAUUUGCAUUGCCCUCUCCAGGUACUUUCAUCCUGACCUGGCAUCACUGAGCACGUGCUGGAACUGUGGCCAGUGCAGUUGCCUGGACAACUGAUCGCUGGAUUACAGGUUGUGAGAAAGAAAAGAGAGAGAGUGAAGACUCUGAGGGCAAGAGUCGGUAAGUGUCUGGAUCAGUGGUCUUCAGUCUUGAUCUUCCGGUUUCUUUUUUUUCCAUUUUGGGCUUCAGAUGCAGGAUUGUUUUAGACUUGGGAAACAGUUUUAUUGGCUGGAUUGAAUUCAUUUAUUUGUUCAGUAAUAGAAGCUUUCCUCCAUUGGCUUUGAAUUUUAAAUCCUUCUCCUCACUUACAAAAUGACCAAACUCUAGAAGAUCUAAAAGUGUUUUGUAGUACUGUAUUAUCUGAAAGUAGCACCGCUCUCUCAGAGUGCAGACUCUGAGAGCUCUGAGAGUUUCUAAGAGUAUGAUUCUUACUCUUCUGUCAAACCAGCUCCCAGGAUUGGUUUCAGGGGGCAGACACUCCAUUCUGCGUUUUAGCUCUGUCUUCAGUCUUUUGGAUAAAACUUCAGUCUGCAUCAGGGAAUCCUGCGCUAUUCUUUAGUUAUGGUGCUGUAUGACUGGGGUGCUGGGAGACCUCUCGUAAUGAUUGUUGUCUCUCCCUGUACUGUUCUGUAGGUACCUCUUGCUCCUGACCUGCAUGUUCCCGAUCACUGGAUACUUCCACCAUCAACAGUCUCAGAGUUCAUGUUAAACUGUAUGUUCUCUGUUUCCUCUCCAUGCCGGUCCUUCCUCUCCUCUUUUCUCUCUUUCCAACUGGCUGUGGCAGAUGGCCGGCCUUGCUGAGGCCGCUCCUGCUGAAGGUUUUUCUCUGAUAAAGGGCAUGCUUUUUCAUCCCUAUUCUUUCCAAGUGCUUUCUCAAAAGGACUGGCUGGAAUUCUCUAUUACUGUGUUUAUCAUACAACAUAAUGUGUAUAAAGAUGACAGUUUGCGUGCAUUAGAUGGAAAUGGGAUGUCAUUUUUGCUUCAUCCAGUCCUAAAAAUCAAUUACUAAACAUUUGAUUAUAUGAUAAAGAAAAUCUUAAGGUGUUUUUGGGUGAACACAUGUUGCAGUAGGCCUGCUUAUCCUAUUCUGAAGUUCUAAUCUCACAUAGAGUUUCAUUUUUGCCUUCCUUACGUCAGUGCUCCAGAUAAGGAUACACAGUGUCUCUGCACUAUCAGGGAGCAGCUAGACUGUCCUUGAGCCUCUGAUAGAAGCCAAACACCCAGACAGUCAGGUCACCAUACACACCUAAAGGGUCCAUUUUCAGGGGUACCACAAUAGUGAGAUAAAGGAGUAAACUCCAAAAAGUCCAUUACAGUUUAAUCUAUACUGCACAGCAUGUAAAACAUGUUCCAUUAAUUUAGCUUUUUAUAGAUAUAGUGAUAGUUUGGGCUGUUUUUACUAUCAAGAUUCUUUUUGACAAAGUUUUAUGAAAAUAGACUCGCCUAUGCCAGACCUGUGUCCUUGAAUCAAAAAUUGAAUAAAGUUUAAUGAUAACUGGUCACAA